CCUACGGGGGCGSSCUGCAGUAGGGAAUCUUCCGCAAUGGGCGAAAGCCUGACGGAGCAAUGCCGCGUGAGUGAUGAAGGUUUUCGGAUCGUAAAGCUCUGUUGCCAGGGAAGAACGCUUGGGAGAGUAACUGCUCUCAAGGUGACGGUACCUGAGAAGAAAGCCCCGGCUAACUACGUGCCAGCAGCCGCGGUAAUACGUAGGGGGCAAGCGUUGUCCGGAAUUAUUGGGCGUAAAGCGCGCGCAGGCGGUCAUUUAAGUCUGGUGUUUAAUCCCGGGGCUCAACCCCGGAUCGCACUGGAAACUGGGUGACUUGAGUGCAGAAGAGGAGAGUGGAAUUCCACGUGUAGCGGUGAAAUGCGUAGAUAUGUGGAGGAACACCAGUGGCGAAGGCGACUCUCUGGGCUGUAACUGACGCUGAGGCGCGAAAGCGUGGGGAGCAAACAGGAUUAGAUACCGCCRAGUAGUCAA
rnacentral:rRNA from 1 species